rnacentral:rRNA from 1 species
AUUGAACGCUGGCGGCAGGCCUAACACAUGCAAGUCGAGCGGAUGAAGGGAGCUUGCUCCUGGAUUCAGCGGCGGACGGGUGAGUAAUGCCCAGGAAUCUGCCUGGUAGUGGGGGAUAACGUCCGGAAACGGGCGCUAAUACCGCAUACGACCUGAGGGAGAAAGUGGGGGAUCUUCGGUCCUCACGCUAUCAGAUGAGCCUAGGUCGGAUUAGCUAGUUGGUGGGGUAAAGGCCUACCAAGGCGACGAUCCGUAACUGGUCUGAGAGGAUGAUCAGUCACACUGGAACUGAGACACGGUCCAGACUCCUACGGGAGGCAGCAGUGGGGAAUAUUGGACAAUGGGCGAAAGCCUGAUCCAGCCAUGCCGCGUGUGUGAAGAAGGUCUUCGGAUUGUAAAGCACUUUAAGUUGGGAGGAAGGGCAGUAAGUUAAUACCUUGCUGUUUUGACGUUACCAACAGAAUAAGCACCGGCUAACUUCGUG